AAGGAUGCUCAUAAACUAAAAUGAUACGUAAAAAUCGGUCGUUGGAAUAAGAGAUAUUUUUAUAAAAGUUUAGAAAAGUCGCGAGUUUGGAGAAGGAUGGAAUAUGGACUAACUUUUCCCUUAUCCCAAUCCACAAGGCAAGGUCGUCGAAACAAUUGAUUAUCAUGCUGGUACUUUGUCAAAGCAUCUUCAAUAGACGUAGCACCUGCGACAAGUAAAUCACUUUUAUCUUUACCAAUGUUAGAGAGCAUGAUAUUCAAUUGGUCAAGGGUUGGGGUAGCUGUUUCGACCUGUAAUUUAAAAUGAAGCAUUUGAUUAUCCGUUUUUUCACCUGCAAUCAUAUACUCUGUUAAUUUUUGCUCAACUAGCGUCUGUCGCUUUUUGGUAAACAGUGUCAAUAUUCUUUUCGUGGUCAGACCAAACAUUUUAGGAGAAACACAGCUGAAAUUCACUAAUAA